UCGUUUUUUCCAUUAAAACUGCCAAGAUUGUUUGGGCGGUGGAUUUCGUUUACUUGGGUACCUUUUAUCUUCCAUUUUAACCAGGUCGUUUGCCGACGUGGAAAAUAGCAAACUGUCAAAUCCAUUUUGGUAUGCAUAUUUGAUAGAAUUUCUCAAUUACUGGAUCUACAUUUUGUCCGUAUUUAUUGGCUCCUGGUUCAUGGCAAGAUGUUCAGCUGCUAAGUUAUGGCGCGCUAUAGAAGAUAUGCUUGCACAUCCCAUUAUUGUCUCCCGAGGAUACGGCUCACUGCCGCAAUACUUCCGCGUCCAGUGCGUCUUCCGCUGCCUCGUAGCAUUAUUGCUGAACUUGAUUUUAUUUGCAUUCCAAAGUCUCAGCAGCAUUCAGCUGGAACUGAAUUGCUGCCCUCAGUAUCCUCCGUCAACAAAUGCAGCUGUCGUCUGGAAUUAUCAACGCCAAUUUGGCAUCGCCUGCCGAUCAGUCGAGAAACUCUGAUGCUGCACUUUUGGCUUCGUCCUCUUUGCCACCGUUUCUUACACAUUCAUCGGUUUUGUUAACGCGUCCUACAAUCUGCUGAAAUCCAAAAUCCUACCAGAAUUUCCCGCAGGGAUCGGAUGGCGAGGAAGAUCCCUACUACUUCCAUGAUCGUUGAGCAUCUCUUUGGCUGUGGCUGAUUUGUCACAUGGCCGAUGUGAUCCACUCCAAGGCCUUGUCCCUCCUUCCAGUCCUGCACAGCAUUCUGAACGACCUUUAUUCCUGCCAGGGCUGUGUCGAUAAAAAUCAAGAGGUGACGGAAAGUUCAAAGUGGUCAACAUAUGACUCUCAAAGAGCCAAUACGUCUUCAAACAUCAUCAACUGGGUGGAGCAAUGGUUGUGGAUAUUAGUAGGCCGGUGAUUUUC